AGAGUUUGAUCCUGGCUCAGGACGAACGCUGGCGGCGCGCCUAACACAUGCAAGUCGAACGAGAGAGAAGGAGCUUGCUUCUUCGAUCGAGUGGCGAACGGGUGAGUAACGCGUGAGGAACCUGCCUCAAAGAGGGGGACAACAGUUGGAAACGACUGCUAAUACCGCAUAAGCCCACGGGUCGGCAUCGACCUGAGGGAAAAGGAGCAAUCCGCUUUGAGAUGGCCUCGCGUCCGAUUAGCUAGUUGGUGAGGUAACGGCCCACCAAGGCGACGAUCGGUAGCCGGACUGAGAGGUUGAACGGCCACAUUGGGACUGAGACACGGCCCAGACUCCUACGGGAGGCAGCAGUGGGGAAUAUUGCACAAUGGGGGAAACCCUGAUGCAGCGACGCCGCGUGGAGGAAGAAGGUCUUCGGAUUGUAAACUCCUGUUGUUGAGGAAGAUAAUGACGGUACUCAACAAGGAAGUGACGGCUAACUACGUGCCAGCAGCCGCGGUAAAACGUAGGUCACAAGCGUUGUCCGGAAUUACUGGGUGUAAAGGGAGCGCAGGCGGGAAGACAAGUUGGAAGUGAAAUCUAUGGGCUCAACCCAUAAACUGCUUUCAAAACUGUUUUUCUUGAGUAGUGCAGAGGUAGGCGGAAUUCCCGGUGUAGCGGUGGAAUGCGUAGAUAUCGGGAGGAACACCAGUGGCGAAGGCGGCCUACUGGGCACCAACUGACGCUGAGGCUCGAAAGUGUGGGUAGCAAACAGGAUUAGAUACCCUGGUAGUCCACACCGUAAACGAUGAUUACUAGGUGUUGGAGGAUUGACCCCUUCAGUGCCGCAGUUAACACAAUAAGUAAUCCACCUGGGGAGUACGACCGCAAGGUUGAAACUCAAAGGAAUUGACGGGGGCCCGCAC
rnacentral:rRNA from 1 species